rnacentral:rRNA from 1 species
GACGAACGCUGGCGGCGUGCUUAACACAUGCAAGUCGAACGGAAAGGCCCUGCUUUUGUGGGGUGCUCGAGUGGCGAACGGGUGAGUAACACGUGAGUAACCUGCCCUUGACUUUGGGAUAACUUCAGGAAACUGGGGCUAAUACCGGAUAGGAGCUCCUGCUGCAUGGUGGGGGUUGGAAAGUUUCGGCGGUUGGGGAUGGACUCGCGGCUUAUCAGCUGGUUGGUGGGGUAGUGGCUUACCAAGGCUUUGACGGGUAGCCGGCCUGAGAGGGUGACCGGCCAAAUGGGGAAGGAGAAAGGGCCAAGACCCCGAGGGGGGGAAGGAGUGGGGAAAAUUGAAAAAGGGGGGGAAGCCUGAUGCAGCAACGCCGGGGGGGGGAGGAGGGCCUUGGGGUUGAAAACCGUUUUGGCUUGGGACGAAGGGGGGGUGAGGGUAAGGGGAAAAGAAGCACCGGCUAAAUAGGU